rnacentral:rRNA from 1 species
GACAGAGGGUGUUAACGUUGCUCGGAAUUACUGGGUGUAAAGCGCGUGCAGGUGGUUUUAUAAGUCCGGUGUGAAAGCCCAAGGCUCAACCUUGGAAGUGCACUGGAUACUGUGAAACUUGAGUUCUGAAGAGGAGAGUGGAAUUCCCGGUGUAGAGGUGAAAUUCGUAGAUAUCGGGAGGAACACCAGUGGCGCAAGCGACUCUCUGGGCAGAAACUGACACUAAAACGCGAAAGCGUGGGGAGCAAACAGG